rnacentral:misc_RNA from 1 species
UAUCAAACCUCAUCAUUAAUUAUAUUGAAACUGUCUGUAACAGUAUUUUGUUUGAGGACAACAUUAUUGCCAAUUUUCCAUGUAAUGGGCAACCUAGACAUAUAUAUAAUUUGAUAUUAAUUAUAACAAUUCAUGAAGCUCAAAUGCUGAGCCAAAACAUCUCAGAAAGAACUGCUGCAUGCCCAUCACACGCUAUUCCUAAUUAAAACUCAAAUAUUUCAUUUUGUAUAGUUAGUGGAUAUGGAGUAUUAGUGGUCAUUGGUGCAAAGUUACUAAUCUCAACAGUAUCCUCUAUCUGCCAAAAAUAAUUAAAACAACGAAAAAAGAGGUAAGAUUUAUAUAUUUCAGUAGAAAUUUUGUAUAAUAGUUAGCAUUCUUUAAUACCUUAUCUUUGAGAUAUUGAUUUGCAUCUUUCAAUAUUUCUUCCUUGCUCCUCAGCAGCUGGAUCUCUUUGAACAGUAUUUCCAUCUUUGUUGAACGAAUGUGGCAAAUCCAAAUUUCAAGAUUUUUUUCUAGUAUUAGUAAUUCAUCCAUUGUCAUUUCCUCAGACCUCCCUCCAAGCAAGUACCUGACUCCUUUUUGCAGUAUCUCAAUUUCUUUCUUCAACAUGUUGAUCUCUGCAGCCUGACCUAUCCAAGGAGACGCAGCCUCUGGAUGCAAUAGAAGAGAUC